rnacentral:tRNA from 1 species
GUACUGGUAGUUCAGUGGUAGAACUCUCACCUUCUAAGUGGAAGAACUGGGUUUGAUUCCUGGCCAACGCA